rnacentral:rRNA from 1 species
AAGCUUCUGGAUGACUUGAGGGUAGGGGUGAAAGGCUAAUCAAGCUGGGAAAUAGCUCGUACUCCCCGAAAUGCCUUUUGGGGCAGCGUUGUAAUAAAGAGUCUACUGGAGGUAGAGCUACUGAUUGGAUGCGGGGGCUUCACCGCCUACCAAAUCCUGACAAACUCCGAAUGCCAGUAGUAUGAUUUACAGCAGUGAGUGACUGGGUGCUAAUGUCCAGUCGCAAAAGAGGAACAACUCAGACCAGCAACUAAGGUCCCGAAGAAUAUGCUAAGUUGAUCUAACGAUGUUUUGUUGCAGAGACAGCUAGGAUGUUAGCUUGGAAGCAGCUAUUCAUUCAAAGAGUGCGUAACAGCUCACUAGUCGAGCGACAGAGCGUGGAUAAUAAACGGGCAUCAAGCAUAUCACCGAAGUUCUGGGCGCGAGAGCGCGGUAGGGGAGCAUUCCAUUCAGCGUCGAAGCAGUUUCGUGAGGAAUUGUGGAGCGUAUGGAAAAGCAAAUGUAGGCAUGAGUAACGAUAAUGCGGGAGAGUAACCCGCACACCGCAAGACCAAGGUUUCCUGAUCAACGCUAAUCGGAUCAGGGUUAGUCGGGUCCUAAGGGUAAGCCGAACGGUGAUCUCGAUGGAUAAUCGGUUAAUAUUCCGAUACUGACAUAUACCUCGAUGGAGAGACGAAGGAACGUAAGUGCCGCCACCUGACGGAAUAGGUGGUUAAAGGGCUUAGGUAUAGGGGCAGAUUAAGAGUUAGUCCUUGCUGAAACCUGACAGUACAGAGAGCCUACGGGCAAUUUGAUAGAGCACCCAAGUCGACUUCCGAGAAAAUCUUCUAAGUUAUAGUAUAUGUUACCCGUACCGUAAACCGACACAGGUGGUCGAGGAGAGUAUCCUAAGGUGCUCGAGUGAAUCACGGUUAAGGAACUAGGCAAAUUAACCCCGUAACUUCGGGAAAAGGGGUCCCAUCGCGAGGUGGGCGCAGCGAAGAGGUCCAGGCGACUGUUUAUCAAAAACACAGGGCUCUGCAAAUUCGAAAGAAGACGUAUAGGGCCUGACACCUGCCCGGUGCUGGAAGGUUAAGAGGGGAUGUCAUCGCAAGAGAAGCAUUGAAUCGAAGCCCCAGUAAACGGCGGCCGUAACUAUAACGGUCCUAAGGUAGCGAAAUUCCUUGUCGGGUAAGUUCCGACCUGCACGAAUGGUGUAACGAUCUGGACACUGUCUCAACCGUGAGCUCGGUGAAAUUGUAGUCCCGGUGAUGAUGCCGGGUACCCGCAACGGGACGAAAAGACCCCGUGAACCUUUACUAUAGCUUAACGCUGAAUUUGGGUACACAAUGUGUAGGAUAGGCCGGAGGCUUUGAAGCGGGCACGCCAGUGUUCGUGGAGCCGACGUUGAAAUACGGCCCUUUGUGUAUUUGAGUUCUAACCCUGCGAAGGGGACACCGUUUGGUGGGUAGUUUGACUGGGGUGGUCGCCUCCAAAAGCGUAACGGAGGCUUCCCAAGGUACCCUCAGCACGAAUGGUAACCGUGCGCGGAGUGCAAUAGCAUAAGGGUGCUUGACUGUGAGACAUACAAGUCGACCAGGUACGAAAGUAGGGUAUAGUGAUCCGGUGGUUCUGCGUGGACUGGCCAUCGCUCAAAGGAUAAAAGGUACUCCGGGGAUAACAGGCUGAUCGCCGCCAAGAGCUCAUAUCGACGCGGCGGUUUGGCACCUCGAUGUCGGCUCGUCACAUCCUGGGGCUGGAGAAGGUCCCAAGGGUUGGGCUGUUCGCCCAUUAAAGUGGCACGCGAGCUGGGUUCAGAACGUCGUGAGACAGUUCGGUCUCUAUCUGUUGCGGGCGUAGGAAGAUUGAGGGGUCCUGACUUUAGUACGAGAGGACCGAGUUGGACGAACCUCCGGUGUAUCGGUUAUGCUGCCAAGUGUACUGCCGAGUAGCCGCGUUCGGUCUGGAUAAGCGCUGAAAGCAUCUAAGCGCGAAGCCAUCCCCAAGAUAAGUCUUCCCUUGAGGGGCGUAGGAGACUACUACGUUGAUAGGCUGCAGGUGUAAAGACAGUAAUGUCAAAGCCGAGCAGUACUAAUUACCCGAUAGGCUUUCUU